rnacentral:rRNA from 1 species
UGGGGAAUUUUCCGCAAUGGGCGAAAGCCUGACGGAGCAAUACCGCGUGAGGGAGGAAGGCCUUUGGGUUGUAAACCUCUUUUCUUAGGGAAGAAAAAUGACGGUACCUAAGGAAUAAGCAUCGGCUAACUCCGUGCCAGCAGCCGCGGUAAUACGGAGGAUGCAAGCGUUAUCCGGAAUUAUUGGGCGUAAAGCGUCCGCAGGUGGCACUUCAAGUCUGCUGUCAAAGACCGGAGCUUAACUCCGGAGAGGCAGUGGAAACUGAAGAGCUAGAGUAUGGUAGGGGUAGAGGGAAUUCCCAGUGUAGCGGUGAAAUGCGUAGAGAUUGGGAAGAACAUCGGUGGCGAAAGCGCUCUACUAGGCCAUAACUGACACUCAGGGACGAAAGCUAAGGUAGCGAAAGGGAUUAGAUACCCCUGUAGUCC